AGCUCCAAUAGCGUAUAUUAAAGUUGUUGCAGUUAAAAAGCUCGUAGUUGGAUUUGGGACUGGAGUCGUUCGGUCGGCCGCGAGGUCUGUUACUGAACGGCUCUGUCAUCACAUUCCCAGAGACCUGCCGUGUACUUAACUGUGCGCGGUACGGGAUUUGGGACGUUUACUUUGAAAAAAUUAGAGUGUUCAAAGCAGGCCGAUUCGGGCUUGAAUAUCGACGCAUGGAAUAGUGGAACAGGGCUUCGGUUCUCUUCCGCCGGCGAGGAACGGAGGCAAUGAUUAAGAGGGACGGACGGGGGCAUUCGUACUGUGCCGUUAGAGGUGAAAUUCUUGGAUCGGCGCAAGACGAACGAAGGCGAAAGCAUUUGCCAAGGAUGUUUUCUUUAAUCAAGAACGA
rnacentral:rRNA from 1 species